AAUGAACGUUGGCGGCGUGGAUUAGGCAUGCAAGUCGUGCGAGAAGAAAUCUUAGCUUGCUUUGAUUUCGGACAGCGGCGAAAGGGAGAGUAACGUGUGGUUACAUGCCUCGGGGACCGGGAUAGCGUUGGGAAACUGGCGGUAAUACCGGAUAACAUCUAAGGAUCAAAUGGUGUGAUUCCGCCCUGAGAUUGGACCGCAUACUAUUAGCUUGUUGGUGAGGUAACGGCUCACCAAGGCUGCGAUGGUUACCGGGUGUGAGAGCAUGGCCCGGCUCACUGGGACUGAGACACUGCCCAGACAUCUACGGAUGGCUGCAGUCGAGAAUCUUCGGCAAUGGACGAAAGUCUGACCGAGCGACGCCGCGUGCGGGAUGAAGGCCCUCGGGUUGUAAACCGCUGUCAGUUUGGAGGAAGGGUCUGUGAAGAGCAGAUCUUGACCGAUAUUCAGAGGAAGGACGGGCUAAGUUCG
rnacentral:rRNA from 1 species